AGGAUGAACGCUGGCGGCGUGCCUAACACAUGCAAGUCGAACGUCCUGUCUCGCAAGAGGCAGGGAGUGGCGGACGGGUGAGUACCACGUGGGUCAUCUACCGUGAGGUGAGGAAUACCGGCGAGAAAUCGCCGACAAGACCGCAUAGCCUCGGUGCAAGUCGAGCAAAGCUCUUUCGAGAGAGGGAGCGCCACACGAGGAGCCUGCGCCCGAUUAGCUAGCUGGUGGAGUAACGGUUCACCAGGGCGACGAUCGGUAGCUGGUCUGAGAGGACGAUCAGCCACACUGGGAUUGAGAACGGCCCAGACUCCUACGGGGGGCAGCAGUGAGGAAUUUUCGUCAAUGGGGGCAACCCUGAACGAGCAACGCCGCGUGCAGGAAGAAGGUUUCGGAUCGUAAACUGCUUUUCGUCGGGGAAGAGAACGGACGGUACCCGAGGAAUCAGCCCCGGACUAACUACGCGCCAGCAGCCGC
rnacentral:rRNA from 1 species